GCGCGCCUCAACUUCAACAUUAGAGAAGGAAUAUUUUUCCCUUUUUCCCCCUCUGGGUUUAUCGUAGUUCCGUUUUAUCGGUUUAUAUCAACGGGUAAUGGACGAAAUUUUGUGCGUGAUUCCCUAACAUGCCAUAAACCUUGAUAUGCGUAGCCGUAGAUCCACAAACAAGACUGGAAAAUAAAUAUACUGUCUUCGAGCUCCUUUUAACCAGAUUCAGCUGAGAGGACUGCCAAGAGGAGUUUGGGGAAACAGCUGCCUAUUGAUGAGCUCUCUUCUCUCCUGUUGCAAGAGGAAAAUGAAAUUGUUUUCAGACUGCUUGGAGCUUAAUGUCAGGCUAAAAGCACUGCAGCAGUCAAAGUCUUUGGAACAGAUAGCCCUCUCCAUAACAAGUAGCAGAAAGGGCACUUUGAAUUGGCCACUUUCACUAAGGAUAGUACACGUAAAACAUCACUUUGAGGUUGCAGAUUGGUACUAGUCUUCUCCUCUGGAGGGUAUGGUCCUACGGUUGAGUUGUGCUUUGCAGAUCUGUGCUCAGGUAAUUCAGUCAAAGUCUGAUGCUUCCAACAGAGAUGCGAUUGAUGAGUGGGAUAAUGAUAAUGAGGAUGAAACUUUAAAAAAAAAAUUGGAUUGGAGAUGUUGUGAAAAUGUCAGCAACAUUACUUUGUAUCAGACUUCAAAGUGAAAUGGUUGGCCAUCGUGGUCUCAGUCUGGUGAUCUGGUGGUCUCUUUAUGGUGCCACAGUUAUGUGAGCAUGUUAUAGGGUUCAAGUCUAUUUCCUCACAUUGUGCUGGAUAUAAUUUUUGUAUUUUAAGAUGCAAAUCACUUUGGUUUGUGUAAUUGUGCAUAUUAUCCAGCCUUGAAUUUUGUAAAGGUAAUAUUAAAUGAUUUAAAGUGAUUUCAGUAAAAAUGUAUGAAAAAGGUAAUGGUAAACCUGAGAAACAUUUGGUACUAUUUACAUUUAGCGAGUCUUCAGCGCUAUGUAUGUUCUGUGAGUCUUUUUGUAUAUAAUAGAACAAAUCUUCCAGAACCCCAAGUGUGAGUUGUAAUAUUGUCUUUGUUGUAAGACGUUUAAGCACAAAUUGGCAAAUGACUCAAUUCUGAAACAAAGGCUCAACGGAUAAUGAACUAGGUUUUGAGCCCGUAGCAUUGCACAGCAAGAGCAAUCGUUUAUUCAAAUUAUAGUCCUUUUAACAUCAGGCUGUGCUUAGGUGAAGUUGAUCUUGUAUGUAUUUCAAAAAUUCUUUCUUCUCAGAUCAUUAGGAAAGGUUUUCAAUAUGCAUGAGACAGAUAGCUGACAGCUAUGUGAUUUUCGUAUACAUCAUUGGGAAAUUAGACUAUGUUAGGGGCAUAAUUUGUAUACGUUUCUAGUCACUUUUCCCCUAAAACAUUGUUUUUUUUUUAUACUCUUCACAUUCCAGAUACAGUGUGCCAAAUGCAGACGAAAAUCAUUGACUAAUUUGACAUGGAUGAAAAGUUUACAUGGUGUCAGCUGGGCUCCUGUUGGCAUCCAGUAUAAUGAUGUACCAUAAAGAUUUUGUACAUAUAUAGUAAUUGCUUUACAUACUAAUCCCUUGAAUGACAUUUACUUGAAAUUACAACCCUGUUAUGUAUUUACUUCUUAUUGUCAACUGAUUUUAAGAUAUUUGAAUAAACAAGACUUUGGAGACCUUACAACAUUGAUAAUAAUUGUCCUGAUAUACAAAUUUAUCCUUUAGUUGCCCAAUUUGAGACUGAACUGCAGUAGACUAUAGCUUACCCUGCCCACAACCAUCCUUUGAUUAAAGGUACGUAAAUGAAUGGUCCAAGCAAUUCUGUUCUUUAUUUUAAUUUUUUUUAUAUUAAAUGUGAGGUAGUAGCU